GGUAGCAUUGCUUUGAAACUUUCGUUUCUUGUAACUCGGCCUCAUUUUGAUCAUAAAUACUUUUAAUGGCUGGCUUAGAUUUUGCGCUUUUGAAUUAAUGACUUAGGCCAGAUUCAGACACAACCCGGCAAUGCGGGAAAAACGGCAGUCCUCCCAUUCAUUUGAAUGGUGGUAGUGCGUUUAGGCUGCGGAGUGGGGACCGCAAGCGGCCGUGCGGGAAGAAGUAGAACCAGAAUCAACUUUUGCAGUAACGCAACCCGAUGUCAGGUUGCGGUGGCCAAUCACGUAAGCUGGCGAUCAGAUUGGGAAGAAGAGCCUUGUUUAAAUUACCAUGUAGCAUUCCGCUGUUUACCGAGCAACUGUGAAGAUAUGGAAGAGAGACGGAUCGCCACCGUGAUGACCUUUCCAGAGCUGUACAACCCUGCCAUGAGGGAGUACAAAGACGUUAGUAGCCGUGCAGCCGCUUGCCGUUGUAUCGCUCUUCAAUUUGGGAUUUCUGGAAUGCUAGCAUGCUGGCAUGCCAGCAGCACGGCUAGCAAAUGCUGACCACAACAACAAUGGUGACUUCCCUGGACCCAUGAUGCCCUUUGAGUGCCCCCGCACGCCCACACCUGUUCCUUCAUGGCCCCUGCAGAGCCCCUGCCCUGCUACACCAGAGCCCCUCCAAAGCCCCAGCAACCGCCUGCAUGGGAGGAGCCGACCUUCUCGCCCUAAGUGAGGACACACAUCCCAGGUGAUGAACGCACUUAGCAGCCGUCAAGACGAGAAGGAGCACUUGGGAUUGAGCCUGGCAGCAACAUUGCGGAGACUUCCCCCAUCAAAGAGACGACUGCUAUGGGUGCCGCAUUGAGCAGCUAGUCUAUGAGGUCGAGUUUGGGGAUGGACUGUGAUUCUGGGCACAACAUAUAAAUGCUACACUAUUUUUGCACAGGGUGGUGGGUUUUCCUUUGUCUUUUUUCUUUUGUAAUAUUUUGGAGUGCAAUACAUUAUUAACUUGAGUGCAGUAAGCACUUUGAAUAUA